UAAGGAAUAUUGCUCAAUGGGAGAAAUCCUGAAGCAGCAACGCCGCGUGGAGGAUGAAGGGUCUAUGACUUGUAAACUCCUGUAAAGAAGGAAAAAAUUCCCAUUUGAUGGGAGAUGAUGGUACUUCUGGAGUAAGCCCCGGCUAACUACGUGUCAGCAGCCGCGGUAAUACGUAGGGGGCAAGCGUUGUCCGGAUUUACUGGGUGUAAAGGGUGCUCAGGCGGAUUUGUAAGUCAGAGGUGAAAUCUUACAGCUUAACUGUGAAACUGCCUUUGAUACUGCAAGCCUAGAGUAUGGAAGAGAGUGAUAGAAUAUCUGGUGUAGCAGUGAAAUGCGUAGAUAUCAGAUAGAACACCAAUGGCGAAGGCAGUCACUUGGUCCAUUACUGACGCUAAAGCACGAAAGCGUGGGUAGCAAACA
rnacentral:rRNA from 1 species